rnacentral:rRNA from 1 species
GAUGAACGCUAGCUACAGGCUUAACACAUGCAAGUCGAGGGGUAACAAGAGGAAAGCUUGCUUUUCUUGUUGACGACCGGCGCACGGGUGAGUAACGCGUAUCCAACCUGCCUAUAACUAGGGAAUAACCUUGCGAAAGUAAGACUAAUACCCUAUGAUCUCCUUUGAUGACAUCAGAUUAGGAAUAAAGAUUUAUCGGUUAUAGAUGGGAUGCGUCUGAUUAGCUUGUUGGCGGGGUAACGGCCCACCAAGGCAACGAUCAGUAGGGGUUCUGAGAGGAAGGUCCCCCACAUGGGAACUGAGACACGGUCCAAACUCCUACGGGAGGCAGCAGUGAGGAAUAUUGGUCAAUGGGCGGAAGCCUGAGCCAGCCAAGUAGCGUGCAGGAUGACGGCCCUAUGGGUUGUAAACUGCUUUUAUACAGGAAUAAAGUUAGCCACGUGUGGUUAUUUGUAGGUACUGUAUGAAUAAGGACCGGCUAAUUCCGUGCCAGCCGCCGCAGUAA